rnacentral:tRNA from 1 species
AGCUUUAUAUUCAAUUAUGAUAUUAAAUUGCAAAUUUAAAGGUAAAUAUAAAUUUUAUAGCUU